UUUUGCUAUCAAACAUCCUACAACCUGAUUCAUCGAGAAGAUACACAAUCCAGAACAUCAUCAUCCACCCUUGGUUAUGUUCUGGGAGGAAGAAGCAGGCGAUAUUCCGGUCACCAGAUGUUGACAAAGUGACAAAACAAAAGUUAAUCAAAGCUGUCGCUGGGAUUAUGGAGUUGUCGAGAACUGAAGUCAGUUGCGCUGUUGAGUCAAGACAAUGCGACUCGAUAUUCGCCGUGUACAAUAUCUUGCUUCAGGAAGAACUGAAACAGAAUCUCAACAAAGCUGCCAAGACCAUCUCGUCGGUAGUAAUUUGUGACCACAGCAACACGGCCAGGAUUGCGACCGGCGUGACCGCCCAAAAAAGACGGAAAAUGGACGACGAGAGCGAGACGAUACGUUCCCGAAGUAUUUUACAAAAGAGCAAACUUCGAAGUUCGCAGGUGAAAAGACAUUGGGCGGUGAAGAAGAGAGCCCAAAACUAUCAUAGGGAAAUAUUUGACGGAGUCAGUUGUGUAAUUGGAAGAGGUAUUGGAAAAUCGAACACCCAAGACGAUUUGAGUGAUGAUAA